GCAAGAAGACACCACACAGCUUUUGUGGGCAGGGAAGGCGCUCAUGAAGAGUAAAAGAUUAUGUGAUUAUGUUGGUGACAAUGAGAGAACUAAGAUCAUACUCAGAUUGCAGCCAUCUUGCAUGAGCUCUGCAUGAUGCUUGUAACCAUGAAGGCAGGUGAGCUGAAAGAGCAAAACCACUCAAUUACAGUUGCACGUCUCUUGGCAGUUGGCUUCCUAACUAAGAUGAUGGUCAUC